CGUUGAAACACCGGUUCUCUUACGGUCUUGAAGUUAAGCAACGUCGAGCCUGGUCAGUACCUAGAUGGGUGACCGCUUCGAAAUACCAGGUGAUGUAA